AAAACAUGGUCCUCCCUUCGUUUAAAAGUUCGAUCGCGCGAAUUUGAUCGGCUUAUAAAGGCUUCGUUCAACUUCUUGUAAUUAUCGGCAAUGUAUCUCUCUUGAGUUGUAAGUUUUGUAUCAAGAUACUCCCUUUGCUCUUGUAUCAUCUGGGUCAUGCGAUGUUCGACUUGAGUUUGCAACUUUUUCAUCUCUUUUUGUAACAACUCGACCAAAGGAUCGUUAUCUCUUUUUUGCUCAUCCUCUUCAUUUUUACUAGUUUGGGAUCUAGUGAUCGGCA
rnacentral:lncRNA from 1 species